rnacentral:rRNA from 1 species
GGUGAGUAAUGUCUGGGAAACUGCCUGAUGGAGGGGGAUAACUACUGGAAACGGUAGCUAUACCGCAUAACGUCGCAAGACCAAAGAGGGGGACCUUCGGGCCUCUUGCCAUCGGAUGUGCCCAGAUGGGAUUAGCUAGUAGGUGGGGUAAAGGCUCACCUAGGCGACGAUCCCUAGCUGGUCUGAGAGGAUGACCAGCCACACUGGAACUGAGACACGGUCCAG